rnacentral:rRNA from 1 species
GCUUACGGCCACACCAGUGUGAAUGUGUCUGAUCUCGGAAGCUAAACACACUUGGGCUCGAUCAGUACUUGAUUGGGAGACCGCCUGGGAACCCCGAGUGCUGUAAGCU